rnacentral:rRNA from 1 species
GAUGAACGCUGGCGGCGUGCCUAAUACAUGCAAGUCGAGCGAACGGACGAGAAGCUUGCUUCUCUGAUGUUAGCGGCGGACGGGUGAGUAACACGUGGAUAACCUACCUAUAAGACUGGGAUAACUUCGGGAAACCGGAGCUAAUACCGGAUAAUAUUUUGAACCGCAUGGUUCAAAAGUAAAAGACGGUCUUGCUGUCACUUAUAGAUGGAUCCGCGCUGCAUUAGCUAGUUGGUAAGGUAACGGCUUACCAAGGCAACGAUGCAUAGCCGACCUGAGAGGGUGAUCGGCCACACUGGAACUGAGACACGGUCCAGACUCCUACGGGAGGCAGCAGUAGGGAAUCUUCCGCAAUGGGCGAAAGCCUGACGGAGCAACGCCGCGUGAGUGAUGAAGGUCUUCCGAUCGUAAAACUCUGUUAUUAAGGAAGAAUAUAUGUGUAAGUAACUGUGCACAUCUUGACGGUACCUAAUCAGAAAGCCACGGCUAACUACGUGCCAGCAGCCGCGGUAAUACGUAGGUGGCAAGCGUUAUCCGGAAUUAUUGGGCGUAAAGCGCGCGUAGCGGUUUUUUAGUCUGAUGUGAAAGCCCACGGCUCAACCGUGGAGGGUCAUUGGAAACUGGAAAACUUGAGUGCAGAAGAGGAAAGUGGAAUUCCAUGUGUAGCGGUGAAAUGCGCAGAGAUAUGGAGGAACACCGGUGGCGAAGGCGACUUUCUGGUCUGUAACUGACGCUGAUGUGCGAAAGCGUGGGGAUCAAACAGGAUUAGAUACCCUGGUAGUCCACGCCGUAAACGAUGAGUGCUAAGUGUUAGGGGGUUUCCGCCCCUUAGUGCUGCAGCUAACGCAUUAAGCACUCCGCCUGGGGAGUACGACCGCAAGGUUGAAACUCAAAGGAAUUGACGGGGACCCGCACAAGCGGUGGAGCAUGUGGUUUAAUUCGAAGCAACGCGAAGAACCUUACCAAAUCUUGACAUCCUUUGACAACUCUAGAGAUAGAGCCUUCCCCUUCGGGGGACAAAGUGACAGGUGGUGCAUGGUUGUCGUCAGCUCGUGUCGUGAGAUGUUGGGUUAAGUCCCGCAACGAGCGCAACCCUUAAGCUUAGUUGCCAUCAUUAAGUUGGGCACUCUAAGUUGACUGCCGGUGACAAACCGGAGGAAGGUGGGGAUGACGUCAAAUCAUCAUGCCCCUUAUGAUUUGGGCUACACACGUGCUACAAUGGACAAUACAAAGGGCAGCGAAACCGCGAGGUCAAGCAAAUCCCAUAAAGUUGUUCUCAGUUCGGAUUGUAGUCUGCAACUCGACUACAUGAAGCUGGAAUCGCUAGUAAUCGUAGAUCAGCAUGCUACGGUGAAUACGUUCCCGGGUCU